rnacentral:lncRNA from 1 species
GGGAUGGGCAACUGGCGGCUCCCCUUUUGUAGGCAAACGGAUACAUUUUUGGAACUCAGUCAGGGUCUCCACUUAAUGUUGAGAGUUAGAAUAAUACAAUACACAAGGUGCAAUUUUGAAAUUUGGUUGUGCAGUAGCAGUUUUUCUCUUGUUAUGUCAGUCACUGACUGUCACUCAAUUAGUCAGCUAACAUUUUGUAGAUUGGUAAAUUCGUCUAGCCAGCUAUCUAAACUUGUAGUAAUCAUGGUUGAAUUACCGACCGCGGGCCCCAAUUGAUUUUGUUAGUCACUGUCAUGGCAAACAUUUCUCUCCACCCUGUGGCAAAAUGUAUAGAAUUCCAGGAAAUGAACUCUAAAUCUACAUAUUUUUCUCUCCACUGUCAAGAGGGAGGGUUUGACUGGAUGUGGGUACACAGAUCUAUGAUCCACUGUGGCCCCUCAUGAUGAGUUCAGAUUUUCUGUGACCCCCACGCCAAUCAAAGUUGCCCAUAUCUUCGAUAGUAAAUAUUACAGUAUUAUCCCAAAAAAUUAUGAAAUACUACAGUAAUGUCCACAAAAACACUACAGUCCGCAGAAACAUGACAGUUUAACCAAGAAGCCAGCCGCACCAAUGUGUCGGAGGAACCACCGUACACCUGGCGACUGUGUCAGCAUAUAUUAUGCCCGGCCUGUCACAGGAGUCGCUAGUGCAUGAUGGGACAAGAAGAUCCCUGCCAGCCAAACCUUCCCCUAACCCAGACAACGCUGGGACAAUUGUGCGCCACCCCAUGGGUCUCCCGGUCACGACAGAGCCUGGACUCGAACCAGGAUCUCUAGCGGCACAGCUAGCACUGCGAUGCAGUGCCUUAGACCACUGCACCACAUGGGAGGCCUGUGUUCCCAUAAAUACUAUAGUAUUUAUGCCAUAGUAUAAAAUUUAUUUUUUUUUCAUGUGGGGAGGCUUGAAACAGCAUGUCCUGGACAAGGUAGCAGAUCCGGUGAACAGGUCAGGGUUCCAUAGCCGCAGGCAGAACAGAAGAAACUGGAUCAGCAGCACGACCAGGUGGACUGGGGACAGGAACAGCCAGGAGUCGUCAAGCCAGGUUCAAAGGCAGAGAAUACCAGUGGAGAGAGGGGAGGUGGUCAGACAGAGACAGCAAGGGUGGUUCGUCACUUCAGUGCCUUGCCAUUCACGUUCGCACCCCUGGGCCAGACUGCAAGUAAAUAGGCAGCGUAAGUGCAGG